rnacentral:misc_RNA from 1 species
AACACCUCAAAGCCUUCAAUUCAGUUUGAAAGCUUUGGACUUGAGCAAUCCCAACAUCAGUCUCGCGACUGACGGAGGGCUGCUUGAAAUGCAGGUGCAGCUGGACAUUCUCCUGAGCUAUAAGCAUAUUUAUUUAGUCCCGUCAAACGGAUUAUUACUUUUGCUGCAGCUAACAUAAAGGGAGUCUGACCGUAUUGGCUGACUGAUGCAGGAUUUCACAAGGGCUGGCAACAGCUUCUUGUAAA